UACGGAGGGAGCUAGCGUUAUUCGGAAUUACUGGGCGUAAAGCGCACGUAGGCGGCUUUGUAAGUAAGAGGUGAAAGCCUGGUGCUCAACACCAGAACUGCCUUUUAGACUGCAUCGCUUGAAUCAUGGAGAGGUGAGUGGAAUUCCGAGUGUAGAGGUGAAAUUCGUAGAUAUUCGGAAGAACACCAGUGGCGAAGGCGGCUCACUGGACAUGUAUUGACGCUGAGGCACGAAAGCGUGGGGAGCAAACAGG
rnacentral:rRNA from 1 species